CAGCAGCCGCGGUAAUGCGAAGGGGGCUAGCGUUGCUCGGAACGACUGGGCGUAAAGGGCGCGUAGGCGGUUCACACAGUCAGGCGUGAAAUUCCUGGGCUUAACCUGGGGGCUGCGUUUGAUACGUGUGGGCUAGAGUGAGGAAGAGGGUCGUGGGAUUCCCAGUGUAGAGGUGAAAUUCGUAGAUAUUGGGAAGAACACCGGUGGCGAAGGCGGCGACCUGGUCCUUUACUGACGCUGAGGCGCGAAAGCGUGGGGAGCAAACAGGAUUAGAUACCCGAGUAGUCCCUGUCUCUUAUAC
rnacentral:rRNA from 1 species